rnacentral:misc_RNA from 1 species
AAGUCGUAACAAGGUUUCCGUAGGUGAACCUGCGGAUGGAUCAUUACCAAUUUCUAUAUUAUAAAACUGCUCAAGCCCCGCAACGGGUUUGGGCAACUUUUAUAAAUGUAAAUUGUUGAACCUGUUAUAUUAUUCUGUGUGGUUCAGUGUUAUUACUUGGCCACCAGCAUUUAUAAAAUCUAAAACAUUUUAUAUUAACUACUAUACUACUAAUAACUAUAUAUAUAAUACUUUUUAUAGCCACAAGCUGUAAAAAAACAACUAAUAUAAAAAACAACUUUCAACAAUGGAUCUCUAGGCUCUC